rnacentral:rRNA from 1 species
AUCAACUUUCGAUGGUAGGAUAGAGGCCUACCAUGGUGGUAACGGGUAACGGGGUGUUAGGGCACGACACCGGAGAGGGAGCCUGAGAAACGGCUACCACAUCCAAGGAUGGCAGCAGGCGCGCAAAUUACCCAAUCCCGACACGGGGAGGUAGUGACAAUAAAUAACAAUACGGGGCUCUUUAGGGUCUCGUAAUUGGAAUGAGUACAAUUUAAAUCUCUUAACGAGGAACAAUUGGAGGGCAAGUCUGGUGCCAGCAGCCGCGGUAAUUCCAGCUCCAAUAGCGUAUAUUAAAGUUGUUGCAGUUAAAAAGCUCGUAGUUGAAUUUCGGGGUCAGCAGGUUGGUCGUGCCACUGGUAUGCACUGGUUUCGCUGAUUCCUCCUUUCUGAAGAACUGUAAUGCCAUUAAUUUGAUGUUGCAGGGAAACAGGACUGUUACUUUGAAAAAAUUAGAGUGUUUAAAGCAGGCUAACGCUUGAAUACAUUAGCAUGGAAUAAUGAAAUAGGACGUUUGAUCCUAGGUUGUUGGUUUCUAGGAUUGACGUAAUGAUUAAUAGGGAUAGUUGGGGGCAUUAGUAUUCAAUUGUCAGAGGUGAAAUUCUUGGAUUUAUUGAAGACUAACUACUGCGAAAGCAUUUGCCAAGGAUGUUUUCAUUAAUCAAGAACGAAAGUUAGGGGAUCGAAGACGAUCAGAUACCGUCCUAGUCUUAACCAUAAACUAUGCCGACUAGGGAUCGGAUGAUGUUAAUUUUUUAAUGACUCAUUCGGCGCCUUACGGGAAACCAAAGUGUUUGGGUUC